rnacentral:rRNA from 1 species
GACGAACGCUGGCGGCGUGCUUAACACAUGCAAGUCGAGCGGGUCUCUAUGCUGGAAGGUUUCGGCCGGAAGGUAUUUAUUCUAGCGGCGGACGGGUGAGUAACGCGUGAGCAAUCUGUCCCAGACAGGGGGAUAACCCUUGGAAACAGGUGCUAAUACCGCAUAAGACCACGGUAUCGCAUGGUACUGAGGUAAAAGGAGCAAUCCGGUCUGGGGUGAGCUCGCGUCCGGUUAGCUAGUUGGUGAGGUAACGGCCCACCAAGGCGACGAUCGGGAGCCGACCUGAGAGGGUGAUCGGCCACAUUGGAACUGAGACACGGUCCAAACUCCUACGGGAGGCAGCAGUGGGGAAUAUUGGGCAAUGGGCGCAAGCCUGACCCAGCAACGCCGCGUGAGUGAAGAAGGUUUUCGGAUUGUAAAGCUCUGUCCUUGGUGACGAAGAAAGUGACGGUAGCCAAGGAGGAAGCCCCGGCUAACUACGUGCCAGCAGCCGCCGUAACAC